AGUGAACGCUGGCGGUAGGCCUAACACAUGCAAGUCGAACGGCAGCACAGUAAGAGCUUGCUCUUACGGGUGGCGAGUGGCGGACGGGUGAGGAAUACGUCGGAAUCUACUUUUUCGUGGGGGAUAACGUAGGGAAACUUACGCUAAUACCGCAUACGACCUACGGGUGAAAGCAGGGGAUCUUCGGACCUUGCGCGAUUGAAUGAGCCGAUGUCGGAUUAGCUAGUUGGCGGGGUAAAGGCCCACCAAGGCGACGAUCCGUAGCUGGUCUGAGAGGAUGAUCAGCCACACUGGAACUGAGACACGGUCCAGACUCCUACGGGAGGCAGCAGUGGGGAAUAUUGGACAAUGGGCGCAAGCCUGAUCCAGCCAUACCGCGUGGGUGAAGAAGGCCUUCGGGUUGUAAAGCCCUUUUGUUGGAAAGAAAAGCAGCAGGUUAAUACCCCGCUGUUCUGACGGUACCCAAAGAAUAAGCACCGGCUAACUUCGUG
rnacentral:rRNA from 1 species